CAACCCUCAAGCACUGCUUGGUAUUGGGCUCCGCUGCUAACCCUGCGGGCCUUAAAACCAGUGGCGGCGCCGUCUGGGCUCUGAGCGUAGUAAAUUUUCCUCGCUAUAGAGACCUGGCGGUGGUAGCCAUUAACCCCCAACUUUCUAA
rnacentral:misc_RNA from 1 species